UACGAAGGGGGCUAGCGUUGUUCGGAAUCACUGGGCGUAAAGGGCGCGUAGGCGGCUUUAUAAGUCGGGGGUGAAAGCCUGGGGCUCAACCCCGGAAUGGCUUUCGAAACUGCUGAGCUAGAGUACAGAAGGGGCAACCGGAAUUCCCAGUGUAGCGGUGAAAUGCGUAGAUAUUGGGAAGAACACCUGAGGCGAAGGCGGGUUGCUGGGCUGAUACUGACGCUGAGGCGCGAAAGCCAGGGGAGCAAACGGG
rnacentral:rRNA from 1 species